rfam:Schistosoma mansoni, Puerto Rico, WGS project CABG01000000 data, contig: 0183
GCACUGCUUAUAAGUCCCACAAUAGGACGAAACGGCCGUCCAGUAC